rnacentral:rRNA from 1 species
AACGAACGCUGGCGGCAUGCCUAACACAUGCAAGUCGAACGAGACCUUCGGGUCUAGUGGCGCACGGGUGCGUAACGCGUGGGAACCUGCCCUUAGGUUCGGAAUAACUCCCCGAAAGGGGUGCUAAUACCGGAUAAUGUCUGGACCAAAGAUUUAUCGCCUUUGGAUGGGCCCGCGUUGGAUUAGCUAGUUGGUAGGGUAAAAGCCUACCAAGGCGACGAUCCAUAGCUGGUCUGAGAGGAUGAUCAGCCACACUGGGACUGGGACACGGCCCAGACUCCUACGGGAGGCAGCAGUGGGGAAUAUUGGACGAUGGGCGAAGGCCUGAUCCAGCAAUGCCGCGUGAGUGAUGAAGGCCUUAGGGUUGUAAAGCUCUUUUACCCGGGAUGAUAAUGACAGUACCGAGAGAAUAAGCUCCGGCUAACUCCGU